rnacentral:rRNA from 1 species
UACGGAAGGCAGCAGUGGGGAAUAUUGCACAAUGGGCGCAAGCCUGAUGCAGCCAUGCCGCGUGUAUGAAGAAGGCCUUCGGGUUGUAAAGUACUUUCAGUCGUGAGGAAGGUGUUAAGGUUAAUAACCUUAGCAAUUGACGUUAGCGACAGAAGAAGCACCGGCUAACUCCGUGCCAGCAGCCGCGGUAAUACGGAGGGUGCGAGCGUUAAUCGGAAUUACUGGGCGUAAAGGGCACGCAGGCGGUUAAUUAAGUUGGAUGUGAAAUCCCCGGGCUUAACCUGGGAAUGGCAUUCAAGACUGGUUAGCUAGAGUCUUGUAGAGGGGGUAGAAUUCCAUGUGUAGCGGUGAAAUGCGUAGAGAUGUGGAGGAAUACCGGGUGGCGAAGGCGGCCCCUGGGACAAAGACUGACGCUCAUGUGCGAAAAGCGUGGGGAGCGAAAACAGGGAUUAGAUACC